UGCCCCAUAGUCUGGGAUACCACUUGGAAACAGGUGCUAAUACCGGAUAAGAAAGCGGAUCGCAUGAUCAGCUUUUAAAAGGCGGCGUAAGCUGUCGCUAUGGGAUGGCCCCGCGGUGCAUUAGCUAGUUGGUAAGGUAAAGGCUUACCAAGGCGAUGAUGCAUAGCCGAGUUGAGAGACUGAUCGGCCACAUUGGGACUGAGACACGGCCCAAACUCCUACGGGAGGCAGCAGGU
rnacentral:rRNA from 1 species